AUUGAACGCUGGCGGCAUGCUUUACACAUGCAAGUCGAACGGCAGCGCGGGGCAACCUGGCGGCGAGUGGCGAACGGGUGAGUAAUACAUCGGAACGUACCCAGAAGUGGGGGAUAACGUAGCGAAAGUUACGCUAAUACCGCAUACGUUCUACGGAAGAAAGUGGGGGACCGCAAGGCCUCAUGCUUUUGGAGCGGCCGGUGUCUGAUUAGCUAGUUGGUAGGGUAAAGGCCUACCAAGGCGACGAUAAGUAGCUGGUCUGAGAGGACGACCAGCCACACUGGGACUGAGACACGGCCCAGACUCCUACGGGAGGCAGCAGUGGGGAAUUUUGGACAAUGGGCGCAAGCCUGAUCCAGCAAUGCCGCGUGAGUGAAGAAGGCCUUCGGGUUGUAAAGCUCUUUUGUCAGGGAAGAAACGGCUGAGGAUAAUACCUUUGGCUAAUGACGGUACCUGAAGAAUAAGCACCGGCUAACUACGUGCCAGCAGCCGCAGUAA
rnacentral:rRNA from 1 species